rnacentral:lncRNA from 1 species
UGAGAAUGAGGAGUAAGAUAUGAGUUUGUUCGUUUUGUGUCUUCUACUUUACUGUUAAACUUCAUACAAAACAACACCUGUAGUGAAAAGGUGUAUAAAUGUUACUAUGGCAAUAAGCAUCACUGUGUAUGAAUGUACUACUAGUGUUCCUUAUCUGCCUCCUCAACAAAAAAGCAUUACUGUGGCAAUAAUGUUGUUCUUGUUAGAGGCAUCUACUGUAAUGUUGGAGAAUAUGAUAGUGCCAAUGGAAAAUCUAGUAGUUACCUUAGUAUGUUGCUGCUCUUCGAUUGAAUUUGCAUUACUCUACUGCAAAUUAUCAAUCAAUAAAAAAUUCAUUAGUAGAAUUCAGCUGAGGUUUUCUACAAUAUCUACAUCACGUGGACAUAUCUACAACGGUUGAUGAAUUUAAAUGAACACCCUGAAGACAAGUGGUGAACAAAAUUGUGUUCAACUGGAUGCAAACCCACAUGCCGUGCAAGUAGAUAAAGAAAAUUGUUUUAGAUUUUAUUUAAUUAGAACUACAUGUUUCUUAUGUAUUGACUUUCAAAGUUAAGAACAAUCCAAUAAAUUACAUAAUUCUUAGCUUCUGAGAUUUUUUCCCCCUUAAAAAGAACAAGAUAUUAGAUUCAACAAAACUAGAAAUUUGAAGCAUCAAAUUGGUAAUUUGAAAAACAUUAACAAAGCGGAAGAAAAAACCAACUUGAUAAGACGACUUCUGAUGUGCGAAAGCUCAGUAGGUCCUGCACGAUGUGAAAGCUUUUUCAACCGUCAGGAUCCUAUUGUCACUCAUCGUAGUGUGUAGAC